GAAAGGAGAGAAGUAAUGUGAAUUGCAGAAUUCAGUGAAUCAUCGAAUCUUUGAACGCACCUUGCGCUCCUUGGUAUUCCUUGGAGCAUGCCUGUUUGAGUAUCAUGAAAUCUUCAAAGUAAAUCUUUUGUUAACUCAAUUGGUUUCUACUUUGGUAUUGGAGGUCUUUGCAGCUUCACACCUGCUCCUCUUUGUUCAUUAGCUGGAUCUCAGUGUUAUGCUUGGUUCCACUCGGCGUGAUAAGUUAUCCAUCGCUGAGGACACUGUAAAAGGUGGCCAAGGUAAAUGCAGAUGAACCGCUUCUAAUAGUCCAUUGACUUGGACAAUACUUUUAUGAUCUGAUCUCAAAUCAGGUAGGACUACCCGCUGAACUUAAGC
rnacentral:misc_RNA from 1 species